rnacentral:rRNA from 1 species
UACGAAGGGGGCCAGCGUUGCUCGGAAUGACUGGGCGUAAAGGGCGCGUAGGCGGUGGACACAGUCAGGCGUGAAAUUCCUGGGCUCAACCUGGGGGCUGCGUUUGAUACGUGUUUGCUAGAGUGGGGAAGAGGGUCGUGGAAUUCCCAGUGUAGAGGUGAAAUUCGUAGAUAUUGGGAAGAACACCGGUGGCGAAGGCGGCGACCUGGUCCUUGACUGACGCUGAGGCGCGAAAGCGUGGGGAGCAAACAGG